AUUGAACGCUGGCGGCAGGCUUAACACAUGCAAGUCGAGCGGGGGAGGUUGCUUCGGUAACUGACCUAGCGGCGGACGGGUGAGUAAUGCUUGGGAAUCUGCCUAUUAGUGGGGGACAACAUCUCGAAAGGGAUGCUAAUACCGCAUACGUCCUACGGGAGAAAGCAGGGGACCUUCGGGCCUUGCGCUAAUAGAUGAGCCUAAGUCGGAUUAGCUAGUUGGUGGGGUAAAGGCCUACCAAGGCGACGAUCUGUAGCGGGUCUGAGAGGAUGAUCCGGCACACGGGGACUGGGGCGCGGCCCAGAAUCCUACGGGAGGCAGCAGUGGGGAAUAUUGGACAAUGGGGGGAACCCUGAUCCAGCCAUGCCGCGUGUGUGAAGAAGGCCUUUUGGUUGUAAAGCACUUUAAGCGAGGAGGAGGCUACUGGUAUUAAUACUACCGGAUAGUGGACGUUACUCGCAGAAUAAGCACCGGCUAACUCUGUGCCAGCAGCCGCGGUAAUAC
rnacentral:rRNA from 1 species